rnacentral:rRNA from 1 species
GGACCGGCUAACUACGUGCCAGCAGCCGCGGUGAUACGUAGGGUCCGAGCGUUGUCCGGAAUUAUUGGGCGUAAAGGGCUUGUAGGCGGUUCGUCGCGUCAGGAGUGAAAACUCGGGGCUUAACCCCGAGCCUGCUUUUGAUACGGGCGGACUAGAGGGAUGCAGGGGAGAACGGAAUUCCUGGUGGAGCGGUGGAAUGCGCAGAUAUCAGGAGGAACACCGGUGGCGAAGGCGGUUCUCUGGGCAUCACCUGACGCUGAGAAGCGAAAGCGUGGGGAGCAAACAGGCUUAGAUACCCUGGUAGUCCACGCCGUAAACGGUGGGCACUAGGUGUGGGGGACAUUCCACGUUCUCCGUGCCGAAGCUAACGCAUUAAGUGCCCCGCCUGGGGAGUACGGCCGCA